UGAGUUAAUAUGCAUAAAGCACUCAGAACAGUGCCUGGUGCUUCAAUUCAUCAAGUGCGGCUACUUACCUUUAUUAUAUCACCGUUACCACCACGGCGACGAUGGGCAAGACUUCACAGGCUCUCUACACAGAACCUCAACAUCGCUGCCCCACCCCGUCCUUGGAGAGGCACUUCCAAGCACAGUGGGCAGAAGCAGCCAUAGGCGACAGGCUCUCACUUGAAAGGACGACUCUGAGCCCCAGGUCUCGUGGCUGGUGAGUGGAAGAGCCCAGCCUUCAUCCCAGAGUCCACCCCGGGUGCCCGACAGAAUCCUCUUGGCAGGACUGGUCGCAUGACUUGUGGAGAUCAGGGCAAAACAAAAAUAUGGAGCCCCUCGUUCAAACAUGAAGGAUUUUCAAGAUAGUGACAAGAAGUCAGUAAGUGAAGUGCGGGGGCCUUUCUGAGUGGGGACCCUAUGGGACCCCACGGGACACACACCCAUGAGGCUGGCUCUGCUGCACGGGGUUGGCUCUGAGAAGCUGAGGGAGACACGCAGUUUAUGAGUAUAAUCAGCCCUGCAUUGGUCCUGACCAUUUUCACUUUGCCACGUUCCAGUUCAUCUCUCCAAAUGACUUCUCCAGAAAGGCCAUCAAGUAUUAUCUUACCCUCCUUCAAAAAAAAAAAAAAAAAAAAAAAAGCAAAGAC